UACCUUGGUGGCGACCGGCGCACGGGUGAGUAACGCGUAUGCAACCUGCCCGAUACCGGGGUAUAGCCCAUGGAAACGUGGAUUAACACCCCAUAGUACUUUUAUCCUGCCUGGGAUGGGAGUUAAAUGUUCAAGGUAUCGGAUGGGCAUGCGUCCUAUUAGUUAGUUGGCGGGGUAACAGCCCACCAAGACGAUGAUAGGUAGGGGUUCUGAGAGGAAGGUCCCCCACAUUGGAACUGAGACACGGUCCAA
rnacentral:rRNA from 1 species